rnacentral:rRNA from 1 species
UACGAAGGGGGGCUAGCGUUGCUCGGAAUCACUGGGCGUAAAGCGCACGUAGGCGGAUCUUUAAGUCAGGGGGUGAAAUCCCGGAGCUCAACUCCGGAACUGCCUUUGAUACUGGGGAUCUUGAGUUCGAGAGAGGUGAGUGGAACUGCGAGUGUAGAGGUGAAAUUCGUAGAUAUUCGCAAGAACACCAGUGGCGAAGGCGCUCACUGGCUCGAUACUGACGCUGAGGUGCGAAAGCGUGGGGAGCAAACAGG